GAAAUUUUGAAUCGAAAAAGACAGACGGUCGAGCCUCUUUUAUGUUGUUUCGUUCGUGGCUGUGUGGUUUUGAUGAUUUAGGUGUGAAGGAUAUACAUAUAUUCUUAUGUCAUUUCUAUAACUUAGUCAUAUGUUGAGUAAAAAUAUCAUGGCCUGAGUAUCUUCUGUCAACUCCUAGCAGUGCCCCUUUAUCUGUAUUUCGUCUUCUUUCUUUGUUGGUUAAACAUUUUU
rnacentral:misc_RNA from 1 species